GGAUCCUAAAAAAGAGAGAGAAAAUAUUAAAAUGAUUGACAAGAGCAACAUGAUUUGUUCCCCAAAGGAGCCACCAUUUCUGACCCUCGAUCGAGCUAUAUAUUCUUCAUGUAACUCCAAGGGGUAUACAUACACUUAACUUGAAUGAUUUUCUGGCUUCUUGGAGAUGGAGUUUUGCUAGAAACCCUAGAGAAUGAUGUGGAAGAUGAAGAAGACAACUUGCAUGGUGAUGAGAAAAAGAAAAAUAUAUUUGAAUGACACAAAACCUAACAUACAUGUACAAUGAUUCA
rnacentral:lncRNA from 1 species